AUUGGUAUUUUAUCAGUAGAAAUAUGAAGUAAUGGCAACUGACUGAUGGCAUAUAAUAGAGGAAGGAAGAGAGGGUUUUGGAGGCUGCAUUAUGGUAGUUCUGAGGAAAAUAAGGGGAAAGGACUCAAAGCCUUCUAGAAUAGGCUAUCAAAGGGGAAAAAGGAAGAAGGAAAGAUGGAUAGCCUGUUGUAGGUGAGAACACGCUGAAGAGAGAGCAUAAUGAGAAAAUGGGUGAUGUGAAAUGACCUUCUUUCAGAUAGCUUAACUGAAAAGAAUGUAGUUCAUACCGCAUGUCUCCAACACUAAUAAAACUGCUAUUCCCUAAACUGUUUGCUAAAUGGCAAUGGCUAAGAAGCCGGAGAGAACUGGGGAAAGAUUGGUAUCCAUGAACACUCCCUUUGGUGGGAAAGAUCCUUCCAGUUUGAAUCUUUAGGCAUUUACGUUUAUGAGAGAAACUUGAGUUGAACCAGCAGUUGUCAAAUGAACGAGUGCUGGCAUGAACUUCCCAGUUUUGUCUUAUACCACAAAGCCCUCAAAAGUCCUCCUAUAUAGGGUUGGUCCUGGAAACAGAUCUUACUGGAGAGGAAAAGGUGAGGACAUGCUGCUUUUUCUCUGUGCCCCAUAGUUUUAAUUGAGCCUCAAGUGAAUUUCCUUAGAAGUCAAUGGCGGCUCCAUGUCCCAGAAGGGACAGGGGAAGUGUGUGAAACAAGAUGAGAGGUGGGACCAUUAUUCCCAGAACUCUUCUGACUUCUUUUUAGACCCUGGUCAAGGAUAGAGCUGUUUGUUGUAAUAAAAUAUCCAGUAGCAGGAAGUUGAAAUGGAGGUUAUACUAAAAAAAGACCCCCCAAACAAAACAAAACAAAAACUCAUGCUAAUUUUAGCUCCAUUCAAAACCUAGGGGGAAAAAAAUCAAUGUUUACAAAAUUAAGAUUAAUGGGCUGCCAAAAUUCAACUCAUUAGUUAGCAGCUAUGUAGUGAUGAAGUGUGUGCCGGUUGGAUUUAAAGGAAAUUAAAACUGUAUCAUUGGGAAUGCCUGUCCCCUUAACAUUUUGGCUUAAUGAUUAUGGACUUUUCUACUAAAAGUACUGGUAGCCAAGGAGUGGGUCUAAAAAUCCCUAGCUAAGAAUUUACCCACUUCACUUGACAUGGAGAGGGUCUUGUCAGGAUAUGUUGAGUGCUGAAGAUCAUGGUUAUUACAGCUUAAAAGCUUUUACAGAUAUUGAUCCAGACAUUAGAGUGACCCUCCUUGUGUAGAUAAAACACUCCCAGAGACUUGAAGGAAGUGUACCAGGAAAAGGCAAACACUGAGACUUCUUCCUUUUUGACAAAUAUGGAACUCUUUUCCUCCUUCCAGGAAGUACUGCGUUGAGAUGAAAGCUAUGGAAAUCCUAGGAUGGGUUUGAACUGGUUGUGUGUAAAGGUUUUGCCUUAUACAAUAUCUGUGGGCAUAAGGUGGACAUAUGGCAGGCUGGCCUAGGGGGAUAAUUGCAGAAAAGAAUGAUAGAACUGAGCAUGUUUAUAAUGCUAAGCUGAGGUAACACAGGCAGAAGUUUCUAGCACAAUGUCUAGCACAAAAUAAGGAGUAGAAUGGUCAUUUGGUAUUUCUAUUUUUAUAGUCACAUUUAUUUAUUUUAGUUCAACGUUUAGAGUUGCUUUAUUGCUUCAUUGGGAAAUCUGAAUUUAACCUUCUGACUAGUGAUCAGUAUAUCAGAAAAAUGAUAUUUUACUUCAUGUAGGUCUUAUAACCAGCCUUGGCCUGUAAGAGUUCUCUGAUUUCAGAAAACAGUGGUGAACAUUUGUCUUUGAAAAUUCCAGGGGCACCUGGGUGGCUCAGCCUGUUAAGCAUCUGACUCUUGACUUCAGCUCUGGUCAUGAUCUCACAGUUCAUCGGUUCGAGCACCACGUCAGGCUCUGUGCUUUCAGUGAAGAGAUUCUUAGCUUGGGAUUCUCUCUCUCCCUCUCUCUCUCUCUGCCUCUCCCCUGAUGACACUCACAUGCUCUCUCUCUCUCUCUCUGUCUCUCAAAAUAAAUCAAUAAACAUUAAAAAAGAAAAGAAAAUUCCCUUAAAGUUCUAUGAAAUGUAAUUCUGGAUUUCCUUGAGCCUGAUUUCUCCAUGUUAUAUGUGGAAAGAAGUUAGCAGUUAUAGCAGUUGGUUUUCAAAGGAGCAAAUGGAAGAGUACAUUCUUUCACAGAAGCUUUAUAGGUGGAAGGGGCCUUCAGAAUCCUCUGAAUGUAAGUGAGGCUUACUGUUCACGUGAAGAAACUGUUUUCUCCAGAGUCACAAAACUAGUUAAUGGCAGAGAAGGGAUUAGAGGCCAGCUCUUUUGAUUUCUGGGCUAAUAUUCCUUUUCCUCAGUAGAAGAUUAGAAACCUCUUAUUUCUUGUCUAAGUCUUCUGAAUAGCCUUCUGAGGCCAUGUAAAUUAUAUGCUGGAUAAAACAUAGGCUGACUUGAAAGGACACCUUUCCUUACAAGGUGGUGGGAGACAGGUCAGUGGGAUUGAGUGUGUUUUUAUUGCAGUCUUUCCAUGCCCAGUUGCUGACUGUCACAGGCUAGCCCAGAAGGAUGGACAGGAUUAAAGGAUCUAUAGCUAGUCCCUCCCGGGCCAUCAUAUAACCACAGGUGUGGUUUUUCUUUUACUGUAGAUCAGCUACCAAGAGACUGCUCUGAGUGGAAACAACAUUCCCUUGAGGAGUUAGGGAAGAUGGGGAGGGCAGCUUAAGAUUCCAUGGAGUAAUAUGAGAAUUCUCUGCAACAGUGGAGUCUGGCAAUACUUCUGUCUUUGCCCAUCCUUAGUCUGCUCUCGAUUCUGAAAAUGCUAAGUGAAGGAUGCAAAAGAAAGACUAUUCCUUACACUUACCCCUCAGUGUAUGUUUGUGCCUGUUUGGGAGAAGAGAGAGCGAUGCUAGGUUCAUGAAAUUCCUAUAUAUUAGUAGAGAUUGGAGGGUUUAGCUAGGAGAAAGUGAAGAAUACAUCAAUGGAAUAGGGGAAAAGAAUAAAUAAGAACUAGAGCUAAAAAUAAUUUCAGGUUGCUAAUCAUUAUAAAGCUGAUUAAUUUAAAAGAAGUUAAAAGUGCAGAUAAGAUCCUGGGUAGCUACCGCAUCACAGAAUCUUUGAGACCACAGUUUCCAGUCAGUAGAUGUUACCAGAAGAGUUAAUUAGCCCAAACUGUGGCUGCUAGUUCUUUAGCUGUCUUCAACUUGAAGUUUUUUUUUUUUUUUUUAAUAAGUUUUAGAGCUAAUUAGGAUACACCUGGGACUCAUGGCUAAAGCCAAUAGAGUUUCCCCUGGGGGAGUUACUUUUUAUAUACCAAAAUUUAAAAAAAGGAAAAAUGUCAGAUGAAAACAUCAUCUUUAGAUUCAGGGAAAAAAAAUGGCAUAACCAUUUCAACUCAGCAGACCACAAGGCCAAACAGGCUUUGGCUAGAAUUGAAUGCUGUGUGCUUCUGUUCAGAGAAGAGGAUGCUUCCCAGAUGUGUCUGGGGGACUACCUGCCUCACUCUUAUUUAUCAUCAGAUCUCACACAGGAUGUGGUGUCGCUGGCUGGUAAUCUGGAAAUGGCCUGUUUAUUUUUACAGAUCUGUAGAAAAGACUCAAUAGUUGUAAAGGAUGGAAGAGUGCAAAGCAGCUUGGAACUCACAACAAAGGAAACCGGGACGAAAAAAAUUAGAUAAAACAACUGGGACCAUGGGAUCUGCUCCUUGUGCCUGUCGAACAAAGAUGCUAAAUGGAUUUUCUCAUUUCAAAGGAAAGCCAAUUCUUCCUCCCAACCCUGCAGCCCAUGAUUGUAGAACAUCCAGACACCAUUUUUUUUUUUUUUUUUUUUUUUUUUUUAAGUUCAGGGAACCUUGGUAUUCUUUUCAACACCAGGACUGGUUGGUUCCUUUAUGAGUUUCGUAAAGAAAAGAAACCUCCUCCAGAGCUGCUUAGGCUGGUGAUUCUCUGUCUCAACCAGGCCUUUCUGGAUAAUUUCCCUCAUGUUAAAACCCUGCAGCAGACUGGAGAAAGAGGAUUCUCCAAAUGCUUGGCUGGGAUAGUGUUGCUGCUAAGUUCCUGCUUCUCCUGAAGUGUUAUCCUGAGUGUAACAACUUUCUGUUCUCUCUCCUGAGAAGAGAUAUGCCUGAGUUCUUGCAGUACCCUGGGACAUAAUUCAUUAUGGCCAGAAUGGAUUUGCUGUACAUACAAGUCAUACUUCUAACCUGCCAUGUCCAUAGGUAUGUAAGGAUCUAGGAUGAAGCUGAGAGAAUUCUAUCCUGCUGGUCAUACUCAGAAGGUCUCUAAGCCCACUGAUGACAGGAAAAUCUUCAGUGGUUCCAGAGACAAGCUGCUGGAAAUCCUGCACAUUUAUCUUCUAGAAGGAAGUGAGCUGAGUAGGAUAGUGGUACCUUCAGAAGGUACCUACCCCAAAACUUGAAAGAACUCCAAAGUAAGCCAUGUCCAUUUCUGGGACCCUAAAGUGGCUCAUGAAAGUCAGGGUCCACUUGCUUAGGUUAGGUGAUUUCAAGCCUUGAGAUUCUAAGGGGCGAGUGAAGGUGGGAAAGGGGAUGGUGAAUAGAUUGUGAGAACUUAUCAAAUAAUAGGACGUCUCUUUAAUUCCAAGCAUCAUGUUCUAUUUCACAUUGUAUCUUUCAAUUAAAAAAAGGAAAAGGAAAUGUGUCUUUUUUAAAAAAGAUAUUUUACUCUAUUAGUAUUCAGUACAUAAUAUAUGAGUGCACAUUCAUCAUUCAUUAGAUCUAGGUAGAUCACAACCUAAUUUACAAAUUCAAAAGCAUAAGUCAGAUCAACUCAAUUGCUCAAGGCCAUGUAUUCGUAAGCCAGGAGUAUGCACUGAAUAUUUCCUGUCCUUGGACUGCUGUACUGGGCAAUGCUGCUUUUCUAUAAGAAUUUGUUCAUAUGUUGAAUUUAACACAGUUUUGCUUAGCAGUUUAUAACACUUCACCUACGUGCACUUGUGUAAUAUAAAGUAUAAAAUUAAGUCAAUGAUCUACAAAAUUCAGAGCAAAGUAAUCUAAAUCAUUUGGAUCUUCCUAGAGAUUCUGAUUUCUUUUUUUUUAAUUACACAAUUUUUUAAAUGUUUAUUUAUUUUUGAGAGAGAGAGGGGGUGGGAGGGGCAGAAAGAGAGGGAGACCCAGGAUCCGAAGCAAGCUCUAGGUUCUGAGCUGUCAGAAAAGUGCCUGACAUGGGGCUCGAACUCAGAACGGUGAACUAUGACUUGAACUGAAGUCGGACACUUAACCACACAGCAGCCCCAAUUUCUUUUUAACCUGAAAAAAUAGGUAAUUACUCAAUAGCCUUAGCUCUAAGAUAUAUCUGACAGGCUAUUUUUAUUUGUUUGGUUUUCAGAAAUCAUAUCCAUGCGUUCUGCCCUCUGUAGUUUUUAGCAAAAUGAAUCAAAGCCACUCUGUACCCAAAGAUAACACCAGUGUUGUCUUUUUUUUCCUUCUAAACAUUGCAGUGCUUUACUUCAAGUGCUAUGCAGUAAAUUUACAGGGAAAGAAAAAUUUUAUUAAAUUAUAACUGAGAGGAGCUGAUUUUUUUACAGAGCAAACAAAAAAUUCCUUCAUGAAAGGCUAUAAAACCCAUAUUAUUUACCAGAGAGACCUUUCCUGUCUCCCAGGUAAACACUUACAGUGUGUAGACUUGUGUAAAUACAUAUUUAGGAGUGGCUAAAUAUGGCGAGGUAUUUUUAAAGGUGUAUUUACAAAGCUGAAUACAUAUAUUGGCAUUUCGGUAUGUGGAAGUCGCGUAUGCUGUUCUGCCGUCUAUUCAAAAUUCUAGCAGGACUCUGGUAGAUACACCUUGGAUAAUGGGACUGAGUUUCAAAACAUUCAUCUUUAAUCACAAUUACUAAGGACAGGUCCUUAAAUCAUUUCAAAAGGGUGAAAAUUUUCAACUAAUGGAAUUCGGGUCCUUCUUGCCAGUCUGACUUGAGGAAAAUUGUUCCAGAAAUGUGGCAUCAUUAGCGGAAGCAGAUCUCCUUUCUGAACAUCUUUGUGCAUAAAAUAACUGCCAUUUCACAUUCGGUUUAGAAUGUUACCAAAUAGUCAAAGAGACAGUUCAUUUGAUGGAUGGGUCAGCCAGGAAAUUUUAGUUAAGAGGGGAAAUAUCAUCAAGAUAUUUUUAAAAUACUUUAAAACACAUGAAAAUGUAAGUGAUAAACGCUGUCUGUUGCUAAUUCAAUAGCAGGAAGCUUCCUAUGAUAAUGUAGUGAAGCUCUGUCCAGAGGAUUCCCAGUGUCUACGUUCCUUUUUUACUUCUUGGAAAAUGUGUCUGUUGAGGAAAAGAAUGCGAUCGUAACAGAGGUUGUAGACGCAUGAAAGAGCACUACGACCUCAGCUUCUGUUGUCUGCUGCGCCUCAGAUUGAAUGAGGAUCCCAUUUGUGUAAAAGCCUGUUUUAAGAUAGACAAGUUGAGACUCUAAAUAGCUCUAGAGCUUGGACUAUCUCAGGAGCCUUUGGCUAAGAAGUCUAAACAAUGCUGCUAUUUCAUUUUUAAUGCAGCUUUUUCUAAAUGCUCUCAAUAUCCUCCAGUGGAGUAAUUGAAAAUCUUAUUAUGAGAAACCAUGUGGGGACAAAGAUUAUUCAAUCAGUGAAAUGAUUUCUCCAGUAAAUUUGAACUGGGCUGAGUUUUUUAACUUUACAAAAAUAUACAUCAUAUGUACAGGUCUUUCCCUAGGUCCCA